AGCAUCCUCCACUCACUCCAAUUACGUGAGUCACCCUCGCCACAACCUCCGCAGGAACAACUCUACUGGAUUCUGGACUUCAGAUGCUUUCUCUGGUUGGCACCGUAAGUCGGAGCUGGGAAGUUAUUAGCGGACGGCUUUGGCAAAGAAAGGGCGCGGCAGAGGGCAUGCUUUGUUACGGUUUGUAUCUCGAAGACCCCAAUGCCUCCUGUCAUCAUCUGGCAAGUGAGUGGAUUAUAGGGCUUCCAGCUGAGCUGCGGUGGCCCACACCAGUGGCUUCCACCUCCUUUCCUAGACCUUCCCUGGCUUCGAUGCCAUGCACACAAAGGCACCCUCCUC
rnacentral:lncRNA from 1 species